NNNNACCUCAGAUCAGGCAAGAUUACCCGCUGAAUUUAAGCAUAUUACUAAGCGGAGGAAAAGAAACUAACAAGGAUUCCCCCAGUAAUGGCGAAUGAAGAGGGAUCAGCUCAACUUGAAAAUCUCCGUUGUGUUGCAACGGCGAAUUGUAGUUUCGAGAAGUACUUUCCCGGCGCAUCGGGCAUGCCUAAGUUGCUUGGAACAGCACGUCACAGAGGGUGACAACCCCGUACGUGGCAACGCUCGAGCGCUCGCGAUGUGCUUUCGAAGAGUCGGGUUGUUUGGGAAUGCAGCCCAAAACGGGUGGUAAACUCCAUCUAAAGCUAAAUAUAGGCACGAGACCGAUAGCGAACAAGUACCGUGAGGGAAAGA
rnacentral:rRNA from 1 species